UACGGAGGGUGCAAGCGUUAUCCGGAUUCACUGGGUUUAAAGGGUGCGUAGGCGGGUUGGUAAGUCCGUGGUGAAAUCUCCGAGCUUAACUCGGAAACUGCCGUGGAUACUAUCAAUCUUGAAUAUCGUGGAGGUAAGCGGAAUAUGUCAUGUAGCGGUGAAAUGCUUAGAGAUGACAUAGAACACCAAUUGCGUAGGCAGCUUACUACACGAUCAUUGACACUGAGGCACGAAAGCGUGGGGAGCAAACAGG
rnacentral:rRNA from 1 species